rnacentral:misc_RNA from 1 species
GAUGAAGAACGCAGCGAAAUGCGAUAACUAAUGUGAAUUGCAGAAUUCCGUGAAUCAUUGAGUCUUUGAACGCACAUUGCGCCCCCUGGUAUUCCGGGGGGCAUGCCUGUCCGAGCGUCAUUGCUGCCCUCAAGCACGGCUUGUGUGUUGGGCCCCGUCCUCCGAUCCCGGGGGACGGGCCCGAAAGGCAGCGGCGGCACCGCGUCCGGUCCUCGAGCGUAUGGGGCUUUGUCACCCGCUCUGUAGGCCCGGCCGGCGCUUGCCGAUCAACCCAAAUUUUUAUCCAGGUUGACCUCGGAUCAGGUAGGGAUACCCGCUGAACUUAAGCAUAUCAAUAAGCGGAGGA